UGUACUGGUCGCUAACUUCAGUUUACGUCGAAACGAAUUGUGAUCUGCACACUUGCUGACUCUGGUCCCUGCUCGCUACUUCAUUCUGGGAGAUGAUCCAUCAUGUACUGGUCGGACUGAUUUGGACAAAGCCAUUUUUCGUUUGCAAAUUUUGAAGUGAUAAUGAUACAACAGAAAAUUGAUCUUUAUCGAUAUUGGAAACAAGAAAAUUCGAGCACAGUUUUGGAGAGGACUAAGAAUACUGACUUUGACAGGAAUACAGCUUGACAAAAAUAAGAAUACACAAUUUAAAACCAAAGAACAGUUUUAAUGUUACUAAUGGUGCAUUGCAAGAAACUUUCUACUCAUUCACACAUUCCAAAAUCAAGGGUAAGUCCUUUGCUUAAACACAAACAUGUAGUUGAUUUGCAAUUGAACAUAAGUUUCUUGCAAUGCCCCAUAAUUAUAUUUUGUUCUCAAGCAACUCUGUUAAUGUUAUCCAAUGUGCUGAAGGUUAAGUGUUUAUGUAUGUUCACAAUUUUUUCUCAAAAGUUAUAAUAUAUUUGUCCUUUUAAACGGUA
rnacentral:lncRNA from 1 species